rnacentral:rRNA from 1 species
GACGAACGCUGGCGGCGUGCUUAACACAUGCAAGUCGAACGGAAAGGCCCUGCUUUUGUGGGGUGCUCGAGUGGCGAACGGGUGAGUAACACGUGAGUAACCUGCCCUUGACUUUGGGAUAACUUCAGGGAACUGGGGCUAAUACCGGAUAGGAGCUCCUGCUGCAUGGUGGGGGUUGGAAAGUUUCGGCGGUUGGGGAUGGACUCGCGGCUUAUCAGCUUGUUGGUGGGGUAGUGGUUUACCAAGGCUUUGACGGGUAGCAGGCCUGAGAGGGUGUCCGGCCACAUUGGGACUGCGAUACGGCCCAGACUCCUACGGGAGGCAGCAGUCGGGAGUAUUGCACAAUGGGCGGAAGCCUGAUGCAGCAACGCCGCGUGCGUGAUGCCGGGCUUCGGGUUGUAAACCGCUUUCGCCUGUGACGAAGCGUGCGUGACGGUAAUGGGUAAAGAAGCACCGGCUAACUACGUG